rnacentral:lncRNA from 1 species
AGGGGAGCCCUAAAGUAGGGAAGAUCUACUUUCUCUUUCAUUCUUCAUCACCCUCACUCUGAUACCCUUUAGGAUGCUGAUACCUCUACCUCUGCAUUUCUUCCCAAGUACCGACCACGGUAUCAGGGGACUCCUCCAAGAUGCCCUUUGGCAUGGAGAAAGAAGAUACUGUCGGCUCCUGGAUUUUACAUAGUAGGACAACCAAAACAGGCAACAUAAAGCUUAACAUGGUGCAACUUAACCUAAACACAAGAUGAACUUAAGCUCUAGUGCUGAGUUUGGCUCAGAUAUCCUAACUCAAUUCAACCUUAAGUUCAAAUCCAGGUAGUCAAGCUCAGCCUAAGCAUGCACCAAAGCACAAAUGGGCCCUUGUUUGCUAGAGUUUGGCUCAGAUAUCUUAAGUUCAAAUCCAGGAAGUCAAGCUUAGCCUAAGCAUGCACCAAAGCAAAAAUGGGCCCUUGUUUGCUAGAGCCAGACAGACUAUUCAAUAUUGUCUCCAUUACAGCCCUAACUGUAAAGCAUCUGCUUUCAGCUGUUUAGGAUGGGCAAACAACAAGGCAAAGUUUGACAAUAAAUGGUAAUGGAUGGUGAUGAUGAUUGGUCAGAAACAGUGAAUGAUGAUAUAGAUGAUAGGUGGCCUUCAAAAUUUGAACAAUUGACAGAUGGAUGGCAAUAAUUAAGUUGGAAGGUAUGACAAACUAAAAUUUAGUGAUCAAACAUUUAUCAGGCAUUUAUUUGAAGAUAACUAAAUUAUUUUCAGCAGGACUUUAUUGCAGUUGAUGCUACCGAAUCCAAUGCUUUAUGGGCUAGUGCCAUUUUACAAAUAAUGCUCUCAUGAAUUAUUGGUUUUUCCCACUUUUUUCAAAAUCUGUGGUUUUAUUAGCUCAGAUUUAGCUCCAAGUAAUAUAGUCAUUCCUAUCCUAUCAAUCACAUAUAUUUAGCAAGAUGGAGUCUGUUAAUUCGCUAACUCUCCUAAUAAUAAACUAAAAUGAUUUUUCUAACAAUAACAUGGACUGUGAUAGAUGGAAUAUGACAAAGAUGGAGUGUUGGAGUAUUUC